rnacentral:rRNA from 1 species
UACGUAGGGGCCAAGCGUUGUCCGGAUUUAUUGGGCGUAAAGAGCUCGUAGGCGGUUGGGUAAGUCGGGUGUGAAAACUCCAGGCUCAACUUGGAGAUGCCACCCGAUACUGCUCUGACUUGAGUUCGGUAGGGGAGUGGGGAAUUCCUGGUGUAGCGGUGAAAUGCGCAGAUAUCAGGAGGAACACCGGUGGCGAAGGCGCCACUCUGGGCCGAAACUGACGCUGAGGAGCGAAAGUGUGGGGAGCGAACAGG